AGUACAACCUAAAUAGGGCCCUGGGAUGAGGCACCUGUGACAGGGAGGGGUGCAAAACCAAGGAGUUGGCUAGACUCCCAAAUAUAUACAUAUGAAACAAGGGGGGGUUAUUUGGGAGUCUAGCCAACUCCUUGGUUUUGCACCCCUCCCUGUCACAGGUGCCUCAUCCCAGGGCCCUAUUUAGCCUUGUACU